rnacentral:tRNA from 1 species
GCAGUGGUCGUUCAGUGGUAGAAUUCUUGCGUUCCAUGCAGAAGACUUGGGUUCAGUUCCCAAGCACAGCU